ensembl:lncRNA
AACACAGCAUGGUAGCAACACAACAUGACAACAACAUCGUAGCAACACAACAUGACAACAACAUGGCAGCAGCACAAAACAUGGUACACACAUGAUUGGGCACAGACAACAGCACAAAGGGCAAGAGGGUAGAGACAACAAUGCAUCACGUGGAGCAGUCCAAAUGUCACUAAGAGUGUCCAUGAUUGAGCCUUUGAAUGAAGAGAUACAACUGUCCAGUGUUUUUGGCAGCUCGUUCCAGUCGCUAGCUGCAGAGAGCUGAAAAGAGGAGCAACGCAGGGAUGUGUGUGCUUUGGGGACCAGAGGGCUGCAGUAGGUAUCUCAGAUAGGUGGGAGUUAGGCCUAAGAGGGUACAUGCUUUGUCGUCUUCUUUGACGGACUGUGUGGUUUUACUCCGUUUCAUUACAUUAGCUGUAGGCUACCACAUGAAUGCAUAAUAUAUAAACAACUUGCACGUCACAUUUCAAAACAAGUACUUGCAUGGUGGCUUCAAUGACAGGUUUAGAUACUCUGCGGUGCCUUGUUAGGUCGAGAGCUCAACUACGAUAUCCACAAUCCCUUUCGCAUCAUACGCGGCAGGUUUUUCUCGGAUCGGAGUACGCUACAAUUCAAAACGAGACGUCUCUGUUUAUGUUCAACACACCUCCAACAUAUUAUUCUGCUGUCCGCACGGAGAGCGAAGCAUUAAAAAUAAAAAUAAACAUUUUGGGGGAAUGUAACUUUGUACAGGAAGAAAGCUAACACGAAAGCGUCGUAUGAUUGGCCAUUCUGACUGUUUUUUUUUGUAUCAAACAUUGAGAUUUGUUGACAAAUUGCCUUUGUUAGCUGGUAACUCAACCAACUUGGUCUGAAGCGGCGGGUGGUAGAUGGUUGUCCCCCGCUCACUGAGCGGUGUGUCUCGGCAGGAGGAGCGCAUCGACUCCGCUGGUUGCAGCGGCGACAACCAACAGGCACAUGCAGGAUGAGGAGGCGGAGCUGAAGCUCAGCUGACCCCACCCAUUUAGUGUGACCUCCCUCCUACCCUCACCCAUCCAGCCAGCCGGGCCCAUGUUCUCUCCAGAGCAGGAAAAUAUCUCCCCCUCCUCCACCUCCUCCUCCAAAGUGCCGGUGAAAUAUGGAGAGCUCAUGGUGCUGGGGUA